rnacentral:tRNA from 1 species
GCCGCGGUCGCUUAGUCUGGCUAUAGCGGUAGAUUGCUAAUCUACUGUCCUUCGGGGCACGUGAGUUCAAAUCUCACCCGCGGCG